rnacentral:rRNA from 1 species
AUACGGAGGACGCGAGCGUUAUCCGGAUUCAUUGGGUUUAAAGGGUGCGCAGGCGGCCGUGCAAGUCAGCGGUGAAAGCCCGGGGCUCAACCCCGGAAGUGCCGUUGAUACUGCAUGGCUGGAAUGCGGUCGAGGCGGGCGGGACGUGGCGGGUAGCGGUGAAAUGCGUAGAUAUGCCACAGAAAGCCGAUAGCGGAGGCAGCUCGCCAGGCCUGCAUUGACGCUCGGGCACGAAAGCGUGGGGAUCGAACAGGAUUAGAUACCCUGGUAGUCCACGCCGUAAACGAUGGGCGCUCGUCGUCGGCGACAGACAGUCGGCGGCCAAGCGAAAGCGAUAAGUCAUCCACCUGGGGAGUACGACCGCAAGGUUGAAACUCAAAUGAAUUGACGGGG